UUUCAUAGUGUGGCAUAAGAGUCGUUGUAAUAGUAUCUCAGGGGUCAUCUGGUCGUUGAAAAUCCACAUGCCACUCGUUGGUCGGUAGGUUUUCCAGUCGUUGGUCGGUAGGUUUCUUAGUAGCUAGUUUGGUCACAGGUCACUUAACAAC